rnacentral:precursor_RNA from 15 species
ACGGUGUCAGCGAGCACUUGGGUACAUGAGAUGGUUGACCAGAGAGCACACGCUGCUUUAUUCAUGACGUUUGUGACCUGGUCCACUAACCCUCAGUAUCUAAUCCCUCCUUGGAGGACUU